GUAGGGAAUUUUGCGCAAUGGGCGAAAGCCUGACGCAGCAACACCGCGUGAGCGAUGAAGCCCCUUGGGGUGUAAAGCUCUGUCAGUAGGGAAGAAUAAAUGACUGUACCUACAGAGGAAGCAUCGGCUAACUACGUGCCAGCAGCCGCGGUAAGACGUAGGAUGCAAGCGUUGUCCGGAAUUAUUGGGCGUAAAGAGUUCGUAGGCGGUAUGUCAAGUCUGGUGUUAAAGACUGAGGCUCAACCUCAGGAGUGCAUUGGAUACUGGCAAACUAGAGUGCAGAAGAGGCAAGGGGAAUUCCCAGUGUAGCGGUGAAAUGCGUAGAUAUUGGGAGGAACACCAGUGGCGUAAGCGCCUUGCUGGGCUGUUACUGACGCUGAGGAACGAACGCCAGGGGAGCAAAUGGGAUUAGAUACCCCUGUAGUCC
rnacentral:rRNA from 1 species